rnacentral:rRNA from 1 species
CCUACGGGGGGCAGCAGUGGGGAAUAUUGCACAAUGGGGGAAACCCUGAUGCAGCGACGCCGCGUGAGUGAUGAAGUAAUUCGUUAUGUAAAGCUCUAUUAGUAGGGAAGAAAAUGACGGUACCUGAGUAAUAAGCUCCGGCUAACUACGUGCCAGCAGCCGCGGUAAUACGGAGGGGGCAAGCGUUAUCCGGAUUUACUGGGCGUAAAGGGAGCGUAGACGGCAGUGCAAGUCUGAAGUGAAAGGCGGGGGCUCAACCCCCGGACUGCUCUGGAAACUGUACGGCUGGAGUGCAGGAGAGGUAAGUGGAAUUCCUGGUGUAGCGGUGAAAUGCGUAGAUAUUAGGAGGAACACCAAUGGCGAAGGCGGCUUACUGGACUGUAACUGACGUUGAAGCUCGAAGGCGUGGGGAGCGAACAGGAUUAGAUACCCGAGUAGUC